GGUGACACUCGACCGCGCGGACAGGUGCGUAACGCUCCCGGCGGCGGCUCCCGGGAGAGGCUGCGUCCUCACCUCACGCCGAUGGCACCGACACCCCAGCCUCUUCCGCCCGGUCGACAGAGCGAAGCCCCUACUACGCGCCAGGCAGUCUGCAGGGAGGCGGGGCGCACGGGUGAAGCGUCCAGCAAGGUGCCCUCCCAGCCAGCCUGAGGAUUCUCUCCGAGGGAGCCUCCCCGCUCUGGCCUCUGCUCUCUGAGGCUCAGAGAGGGCGAGGAAUUUUCCCUGGGUCACACGGCAAGGUCACGGCAGAAGCGGGGAAAGGGCCUGGCCGUCCUGACCCUCUCCCGGGGGCUCCUCUGGGCCCCCACCCAGGACAUCAGGCCGGUCACAGCCCCAGGGCCGGGAGUCCAGGCCGAAGUCGAGAGAGGGGUCAGUCGUGGAGCUGGUUCCCUUCUGCCUGCACCUCUUGGCCAAAUGGGGUGAGCAGAAGGGCUGAGCACUCGGGCUCCGCAGACAAGCUGCCGCUCGCCAGACAAGGACCCUGGGCAAGCGUGGAAUCUCUGCGUCACUGCUUCCAUGUCAGAAAGCCAGCAGCUGCCCCCCAGGGCUGGGAGAACCAGUUACAGUCCCGCAGCUGACUGCUUCCGGCGUCUGACAUCACAAGCGCUGACACCCGUUCAUGUAAGCGCUCCUACACGCAGCAGCGCAAUGACGGGCCUCAUUCUGAGAAGAGGAAACUGAGGCACCACAAGAGCAGGCGGCCGGACUGGGAGCUGGACCCGGCGGACGGCGUGGGCCACCCACUGGACCGUCUGGGCACGCGGGGCCCGAGUCCAAGCCAAGUGUCAGCAUCCAGUUGUCCGUCCUUCAGAUAAUAAUGCAAGGAUGCCCCAGUUCACUAAACACACAGAAAUCCUGACAGCUGGGUCUGAGAGAGGGAGGCCCAAGUACUGAGAUGGAAGAAAGGAGGCAGGGGCUGCUGCCUGGAGACCAGCAGGCUCCAAGCAAGGACGCAGCAGAGAUGAGCUGUUCAGUGAGAACAGUCAGGAGGCGAUCGUGGACCACGGGGCAAAGAGAACGGGCUCAAGUUGUUGCCCCGCUAACAAGAACAGACUUGGCCAGCAUGCUCCUUUCCCUUCACCUCUCCUGCUUUUCCCGCCUGAGAUGCAGACAUGAUGACUGGAGGCACAGCAGCCUUUGGGAGGCCAUGAGGACAAAUGCUGGGACUGGCCAAGGGGGAAGCUGCAAGAAACCUGACCUGCUGACGGUCUCCUUGGACUCGGCACCGCCCGCACCACGUACCCGUUACACGAGAGAAAAAAAGGAACGCCUUCGUGGGGUUCAGCCACACAAGUGUCAGGGUUCUGUCUUAUGCGGCCAAAUUCAAUCCCGAGCUGACACAGCAUAAAAUACUGCUGAACAAUUUCAUUAGAAAGUUACUCUCAAUUUAAUUCUUUUCAGCGCUUCUGAUUACAUCAAGAGAAAGUCUCAGGUCAGGGCUAGCACGUCUUGAACACCUCUGCACACUUGCUGUUUUCCCUUUUUAAUAAAGCGAUAGAAGGCCUUGGGCUCUGAGCCUCCCCUGAGCCCCAGCAUCCAACUAGAAUUUAAUAACAUUGUUUUGUUUCCAGUGAA